UACGUAGGGUGCAAGCGUUUAUCCGGAAUUAUUGGGCGUAAAGAGCUCGUAGGCGGUUUGUCACGUCUGCUGUGAAAACUGGAGGCUCAACCUCCAGCCUGCAGUGGGUACGGGCAGACUAGAGUGCGGUAGGGGAGAUUGGAAUUCCUGGUGUAGCGGUGGAAUGCGCAGAUAUCAGGAGGAACACCGAUGGCGAAGGCAGAUCUCUGGGCCGUAACUGACGCUGAGGAGCGGAAAGCAUGGGGAGCGAACAGG
rnacentral:rRNA from 1 species